CCAGAGAGUAGCCAGCAGUAAUGUGGGAUGGAAAGUGGGAACUUAGCGUGUUGAGUGGAGAUGUUUGGAGAGCUCUAGGCCAGAGAGUCUGCUGAGUCUGGCUGACCAAGUUGAAAAUACCCUGCAGAUGCCAUGUGGCCUGACAGUGCCAGCAUUAGCAUGGGUUGGUGUUCAUUUUUAAAAUAUUUUCCCUCUACAUUUCCCUACAAGUAGGCUGUUAUAAAAGAUGAAGUAUGGCUUCUUCUCAGUGUAAGGGUUGGUCCUGUUUCCCAGUUGGUUUUUGAUCAUCAAUAAAGAUGCCAAAGGCCAAUUGCUGGGUGAAAGGAAAGAGGCAGGACUUCCAGGUCCCCACAGGCAGGCUAAGAGAUGCAGGAAGAUGAACAGGGAUUUUACCAUCCUUCGAAGGGAGAAAAGGUGACCAGCUAUCUGGGCUCUUAGGCAGAGUGGCCAAAGGCUGCUUGCUUCGCCGGGUGGGAGAUUAGAAACGAAACUAAGCUGAGGGCAGUUUUGAGUUGUUGAACAAGGAGAAGGUAACAGGGACACUAAGCUAAGGGGUUAAAAGAUUAAGAGGUGCUGAGCUAAGAGCUUUUGGGAGGGCACACUAGCUAUAGGAGAUUAGAAGCACCCAGCAAUUGUGCCAAUAAGGCAGGUUGAAUUUUUAAUCUCCCUCUCCUACUGUCUCUCUCUCUCUUUCUCUCUCUCUCUCUCUCUCUCUCUCUCUCUCUCUCUCUCUCUCUCUGUGUGUGUGUGUGUGUGUGUGUGUGUGUGUGUGUGUGUGUGUGUGUGUGUGUUUCCAUCUGUAGAUCCAACAUUCUCUGGGCAGGGGCUUGUAGCAGGGUCUGCCCGGAGUUUAAAGCCAGGAAGUAGGAAGUACAUGCAACACCUCAGUCUCUUGUUUCCUGUUUUGUAUGUGCCACAUUCUCUUUCUCUUACAUGCACACACCCCUGUCGUGUGAUGCCACCCACCACGAGGCCUUCAAAAGGACUAAGCAGAUGCCAGCGCAAUUCUCUUGGACCUCCAGAACUACACAGCAUUGUAAUGCUUAUACCAAGGAUCUCCUGUCUCAAGUUUGUGAAAGUAGUCCUUACUGUUUAUUCUCUGCCUUGUCCAUAAAUGCUGGCCACCCAAUGGCUGGGCAUAAUAGAGAAUAGAGCGGGACAUCCCCAGCCAGAGGAAAGAGAGAGGGAGUCAGAUUAGCCAGAAGAAUGGAGAGAUGAUGAGAGCCAUGAAAAAUGGAUCUGAGGAGCCAGAUCACUAAUAAUAUGCACUUUCCUUGUUUCAUAUGAGCCGAUCGGGGAGGUGUGGAGAGUAGGCAUAGCUGAGGUGCUAUUUCUGUACCGUACUGUUUGUGCAGCUGAACGUGAUCCCACAGAGUAGUAGAUACCUUGGAAGAGCAGACCAGAGAAGCAGUGCUGGCAGUUAAACCAAGGGCUUUGUGCGUUUUAGGUAAGCACUCUGCCACUGAACUACAUCCCAUCUCAACAAUUUACUUUUUAAAUAGGUCACCCUUUAAUUUAAAUCUACCUCUUAAUUUUGAAGUAUGAUGUCGGGGUCAGCCUGGACACAGGAUCUGGCUUCUCAAGUGGAAGCAGCGAUAUCUGGAAGGCGCAUAAUAAACACACAGAGACAACUAUUUCGGAUACAGGCUGACUGGCAAGUUUCAAGGCUUGAGGUUACUCUUUCUAUCUGUCCCUGUCUGUUUCUGUCUGUGUCUCUCUCUGUCUCUCUGUGUCUCUCUCUGUCUCUCUGUGU
rnacentral:sRNA from 1 species